rnacentral:rRNA from 1 species
GACGAACGCUGGCGGCGUGCUUAACACAUGCAAGUCUACGAGAACGAGGUAGCAAUAUCUCUAUUAAAGUGGCGCACGGGUGCGUAACACGUAAGCAAUCUACCUUUGGGUCUGGAAUACCUUCGAGAAAUCGAGGCUAAUACCGGAUAAUGCAGCGGCAUCGCAUGGUGAUGUUGUUAAAGUUUAAGUAAUGCCUAUAGAUGAGCUUGCGUCUGAUUAGCUAGUUGGUAGGGUAAAAGCCUACCAAGGCUACGAUCAGUAGCUGGUCUGAGAGGAUGAUCAGCCACACUGGAACUGAGACACGGUCCAGACUCCUACGGGAGGCAGCAGUGAGGAAUAUUGGGCAAUGCCCGCAAGGGUGACCCAGCAACGCCGCGUGGAGGAUGAAGGCCGUAAGGUUGUAAACUCCUGUUAGAGGAGAAGAACAGUACCGAUUGGAUCGGUAUUUGACUGUACCCUCAGAGAAAGCCCGGCUAACUACGU